rnacentral:rRNA from 1 species
CUUUCUCCGCCGGCGACCGGCGCACGGGUGAGUAACACGUAUGCAACCUGCCCCUGUCAGGGGGACAACCGCCGAAAGGCGGGCUAAACCCGCGUACAUGCCACCGGGGCAUCCCGGAGGCAGGAAAGGCUUCGGCCGGACAGGGAUGGGCAUGCGGCGCAUUAGGCAGUAGGCGGGGUAACGGCCCACCUAACCGACGAUGCGUAGGGGUUCUGAGAGGAAGGUCCCCCACACUGGUACUGAGACACGGACCAGACUCCUACGGGAGGCAGCAG